AGGUAUUAGCAAAUAAAAGCAAGAUAUACUUGGUGCUAGAAUACGUGAAUGGUGGUGAAUUAUUUGACAGAAUUGCUUCCAAAGGAAAACUCAAAGAGGCACAAGGUAGAAAACUCUUUCAACAAUUGAUUGAUGGUGUUAGUUACUGUCACAAUAAAGGUGUCUUCCACAGAGACCUCAAGCUAGAGAACGUCCUCAUUGAUAUAAAAGGGAACAUAAAAAUAACGGACUUUGGGCUCAGUGCUUUACCUCAGCAAUUUUGGG